rnacentral:rRNA from 1 species
GACAGAGGGUGCGAACGUUGUUCGGAAUUACUGGGCGUAAAGCGCGUGUAGGCGGCAGCGUAAGUCGGGCGUGAAAUCCCACGGCUCAACCGUGGAAGUGCACUCGAAACUGCGCAGCUGGAGUCCUGGAGAGGAAGGUGGAAUGCUUGGUGUAGAGGUGAAAUUCGUAGAUAUCAAGCGGAACACCGGUGGCGAAGGCGGCCUUCUGGACAGUGACUGACGCUGAGACGCGAAAGCGUGGGGAGCAAACAGG